rnacentral:rRNA from 1 species
CACGUAGGGUGCGAGCGUUGUCCGGAAUUAUUGGGCGUAAAGAGCUCGUAGGCGGUGUGUCGCGUCGGCCGUGAAAACCUGCAGCUUAACUGUGGGCUUGCGGUCGAUACGGGCAUCACUGGAGUUCGGCAGGGGAGACGGGAAUUCCUGGUGUAGCGGUGAAAUGCGCAGAUAUCAGGAGGAACACCGGUGGCGAAGGCGGGUCUCUGGGCCGAUACUGACGCUGAGGAGCGAAAGCGUGGGGAGCGAACAGG